rnacentral:rRNA from 1 species
UAGAGCCCGUUAAUGGGUGAUAGCGUGCCUUUUGUAGAAUGAACCGGCGAGUUACGAUUUGUUGCAAGGUUAAGCGGAAAAAGCGGAGCCGUAGCGAAAGCGAGUCUGAAUAGGGCGCAUAAGUAACAGGUCGUAGACCCGAAACCAGGUGAUCUACCCAUGUCCAGGAUGAAGGUAAGGUAAUACUUACUGGAGGUCCGAACCCACGCACGUUGAAAAGUGCGGGGAUGAGGUGUGGGUAGCGGAGAAAUUCCAAUCGAACUUGGAGAUAGCUGGUUCUCUCCGAAAUAGCUUUAGGGCUAGCCUCGAGGUAAAGAGUCAUGGAGGUAGAGCACUGUUUGGACUAGGGGCCCUUCUCGGGUUACCGAAUUCAGAUAAACUCCGAAUGCCAUGUACUUAUACUCGGGAGUCAGACUGCGAGUGAUAAGAUCCGUAGUCGAAAGGGAAACAGCCCAGACCACCAGUUAAGGUCCCCAAAUAUAUGUUAAGUGGAAAAGGAUGUGGGGUUGCUUAGACAACCAGGAUGUUGGCUUAGAAGCAGCCACCAUUGAAAGAGUGCGUAAUAGCUCACUGGUCGAGUGACCCCGCGCCGAAAAUGUACCGGGGCUAAACAUAUUACCGAAACUGUGGAUGAACCUCUUUAGAGGUUCGUGGUAGGAGAGCGUUCUAAGGGCGGUGAAGUCAGACCGGAAGGACUGGUGGAGCGCUUAGAAGUGAGAAUGCCGGUAUGAGUAGCGAAAGAAGGGUGAGAAUCCCUUCCACCGAAUAUCUAAGGUUUCCUGAGGAAGGCUCGUCCGCUCAGGGUUAGUCGGGACCUAAGCCGAGGCCGAUAGGCGUAGGCGAUGGACAACAGGUAGAGAUUCCUGUACCAGUGCUAAUUGUUUAACCGAUGGGGUGACACAGAAGGAUAGGGAAUCGCACGAAUGGAAAUGUGCGUCCAAGCAGUGAGUGUGAGAAGUAGGCAAAUCCGCUUCUCGCGAAGCAUGAGCUGUGAUGGGGAAGGAAAUUAAGUACGGAAGUUCCUGAUUUCACGCUGUCAAGAAAAGCCUCUAGGAAGAGUAGUACUGCCCGUACCGCAAACCGACACAGGUAGAUGAGGAGAGAAUCCUAAGGUGAGCGAGAGAACUCUCGUUAAGGAACUCGGCAAAAUGACCCCGUAACUUCGGGAGAAGGGGUGCUCUAUUAGGGUGCAAGCCCGAGAGAGCCGCAGUGAAUAGGCCCAGGCGACUGUUUAGCAAAAACACAGGUCUCUGCAAAACCGUAAGGUGACGUAUAGGGGCUGACGCCUGCCCGGUGCUGGAAGGUUAAGAGGAGUGCUUAGCUUCGGCGAAGGUACGAAUUGAAGCCCCAGUAAACGGCGGCCGUAACUAUAACGGUCCUAAGGUAGCGAAAUUCCUUGUCGGGUAAGUUCCGACCCGCACGAAAGGCGCAACGAUCUGGGCACUGUCUCAACGAGAGACUCGGUGAAAUUAUAGUACCUGUGAAGAUGCAGGUUACCCGCGACAGGACGGAAAGACCCCGUGGAGCUUUACUGCAACCUGAUAUGGAAUGUUUGUACCGCUUGUACAGGAUAGGUAGGAGCCGAAGAGACGUGUGCGCUAGCAUACGAGGAGGCAAUGGUGGGAUACUACCCUGGCUGUAUGACCAUUCUAACCCGCCACGCUUAGCGCGUGGGGAGACAGUGUCAGGUGGGCAGUUUGACUGGGGCGGUCGCCUCCUAAAGAGUAACGGAGGCGCCCAAAGGUUCCCUCAGAAUGGAUGGAAAUCAUUCGCAGAGUGUAAAGGCACAAGGGAGCUUGACUGCGAGACUGACAAGUCGAGCAGGGACGAAAGUCGGGCUUAGUGAUCCGGUGGUUCCGCAUGGAAGGGCCAUCGCUCAACGGAUAAAAGCUACCCCGGGGAUAACAGGCUUAUCUCCCCCAAGAGUCCACAUCGACGGGGAGGUUUGGCACCUCGAUGUCGGCUCGUCGCAUCCUGGGGCUGUAGUCGGUCCCAAGGGUUGGGCUGUUCGCCCAUUAAAGCGGCACGCGAGCUGGGUUCAGAACGUCGUGAGACAGUUCGGUCCCUAUCCGUCGCGGGCGCAGGAAAUUUGAGAGGAGCUGUCCUUAGUACGAGAGGACCGGGAUGGACACACCGCUGGUGUACCAGUUGUUCCGCCAGGAGCAUCGCUGGGUAGCUAUGUGUGGCAGGGAUAAACGCUGAAAGCAUCUAAGCGUGAAGCCCCCCUCAAGAUGAGAUUUCCCAUUUCUUCGGAAAGUAAGAUCCCUGAAAGAUGAUCAGGUAGAUAGGUUUGGAGUGGAAGUGUAGCGAUACAUGGAGCGGACAAAUACUAAUCGAUCGAGGACUUAACCAAAA